rnacentral:rRNA from 1 species
GAUGAACGCUAGCGGCAGGCUUAAUACAUGCAAGUCGAGGGACAGCACAGGUAGCAAUACUGGGUGGUAACCGGCAAACGGGUGCGGAACACGUACACAACCUUCCUUUAAGUGGGGGAUAGCCCGGAGAAAUUUGGAUUAAUACCCCGUAAUAUAGUUGAAUGGCAUCAUUUGAUUAUUAUAGCUACGGCGCUUAAUGAUGGGUGUGCGGCUGAUUAGAUAGUUGGCGGGGUAACGGCCCACCAAGUCUACGAUCAGUAGCUGAUGUGAGAGCAUGAUCAGCCACACGGGAACUGAGACACGGGCCCGACUCCUACGGGAGGCAGCAGUAAGGAAUAUUGGUCAAUGGACGCAAGUCUGAACCAGCCAUGCCGCGUGAAGGAUUAAGGUCCUCUGGAUUGUAAACUUCUUUUAUUUGGGACGAAAAAGGGCCUUUCUAGGUCAACUGACGGUACCAGAUGAAUAAGCACCGGCUAACUCCGUGCCAGCCGCCGCAGUAACAC